AAAUGGAAUUGCUAACUCAUAUUCUAGUUUUGAUUUUUUUUUUUUUAAACUGCAUCAUUUGACUUUUCAAGUGAUGGGAGAGACCCAACCUGGGGACCCUCUGAGGGUGCCUGUAAGUCACAGGACCUUCAUGGCUCCUGUGAUUCACCAGCUUCCCAUUAAGAAAAUGUCAUCCAUACCACAAAACUGUCUCCUUGCUGUUUCAUGAUCAGAAAAUUUGGUGAUGGAAAACCAACUGGUAACUUCGGUUUUCAAGGAAAAUGAGAAGGAGCAUCAUCUUCAAAAAAAGACUCUUGUAGUGUGUUGUUCUUCAUGCUCCUGCCUAAACAGAUCCCAAAGAAGCUCUGACUUGGCCUUUGCUUCUGGAACGGCUUGCAGGUGAGACACUCAGGCUACAUCUCAAUCUUUCAGAACCCUCCCAUUGCAGACAGACGCCUCAUGGUGUCCCAUGGCCCGUUUUCAACUCUCCCUAAGGGACCAUUUUCUCUGCUGCAUUUCAGUGACUCUUUGUUUUAUAUUACUGAAUUAAUCUCUCACUCAAAUUUUGUAGGCCCUGCUACUCAUCCUUCUAGGGAGAUCAUGGUUUGAAAUUCACUUAUUCUUGUAGCUUCCGACGAACAUAUUGCUUACUGGACAUUUGAUGAACUGAAAGAGAUAUUGCAAAAUGAAGUCAAUGAGAAAGACAUUGAGAAUCAUUACUGUCCUCAAUCCUCUAAUAUGGCAUGAGGGGGUGGAAAUCCUUCCUCCAGAUUAUCUGAAUGUAUCACUAAAUUAGAUUUUACAGAGAAAACAAUUCAAUUUUUAAUUCAAACAAAGGUUGUAAACUCUACUUGUCCCCAUGUCUUCAUGCCAUUUAUAUUCUUUGUAAGUAUGGUGGUAUCUCUAACUUUCUAGAAAGUAAGCAACUUUGGAACCUCCUUCAUCUUAAAUGUGACCUUCUUGAUGAGACCUUCACUGAGCACUUGCCAAAAAAAUACAAUCACAGUCCCUUGAUCUCCUCUACCUGGUCCCCACCUCAUUAUUCCUCUCUCUGCACACUAUGCACAGAAC
rnacentral:lncRNA from 12 species